GCUACCUUAUUCUUCCUCUUUAUCAUCAUCUUCUUCUUUAAAUUGUCGUUCCCGUCCAUCUCUCGCGCUGUCAUACGUCACCAUUGCCCACGUUGUCCCGCGCUGCCAAGACCAGUCACCGUCGCGCAUCAAAUUGUCGUCGCCAGAACCACUAUUUGGAGGAGUAAAAGUAACCAAGGUAUAAUGCGCCAACCAACGAAGUUACAAUGUGGUUUCUUUUCUAAAUAGUUCGAAUUUGACUCAACCUCUACGUAGGAAGAAGAAAAUGAUUAACAACGUAAAGGCAAGACACCUCUAUAUGGUUGAUGACGACAUUGCAAGUAAAGACCGAUGAAGAAGGAAACUAUGCUCGAGAUAGUUGUAAGAUUAAAAAAAAAACGGACAAGAUCAACAUAGGAACAAGGUCAUUUCGCCCCUACUCCUACCUGAGGAGUCUGGAUAGUUGAGUCAUCACAAGAAAGCGAAAGAAAGGGGAGGAAAAGAAGAAGGGAUAAGAAGAAGUUAGGAUUUUGAAAGAAAAGAAGAACAGAGAAAUCGGCUGCCUCAAAUCUGCCGUUGGAGAUCGAAUCGAAGGCAAGAAACUUCAAAUCAAGACUCCUCUUGGUGCUAGAAGAAGAGUUUGGGGAGUGGACUCGCCCAUUCCGACUAGAAAAUCCGAGAAUGGACAAGAUCUAAGGAGUUUCUUGAACAAUAGAUCUGGAGUUUUGAGGUGUCUAAUCAAAAGAGGAUUCACACAGGUUUCUUGAAGAAAUCUCGAACAAAAAUUGGAGCUUGAUUGGAAUUCGGGUGAACUGGUCAAGAAUAGAAAACGGGAGUUUUUCGGUAUCUUUGAAUGGAUUUAAUUCAUUCUAUAUUCAAGAGAAGGGAGUUUUUCGGUAUCUUUGAAUGGAUUUAAUUCAUUCUAUAUUCAAGAGAAAAAUAAAAGAAAAAUAUGUCGAUGUAGGUGAAUAAAAAAUUUACGACUUUGGUGAAGAAACCAAGUCAAUCCAAGUUAUGUGCGAAAAGUUACCAAAAUCUGAACUUCGAU